GAUCCUGGCUCAGGACGAACGCUGGCGGCGUGCCUAACACAUGCAAGUCGAGCGGAGACAGUGAGUAGUUUGCUAUGAGCUGUUUUAGCGGCGGACGGGUGAGUAACGCGUGAGCAACCUUUCCCAGACAGCGGAAUAACACACCGAAAGGUGUACUAAUACCGCAUAAGACCACGGGAUCACAUGGUUCUGGGGUAAAAGAAUUAUCGGUUUGGGGUGGGCUCGCGUCCGAUUAGGUAGUUGGUGAGGUAACGG
rnacentral:rRNA from 1 species